rnacentral:tRNA from 1 species
GGUUGUAGCUCAGUGGUCGAGCACUUGCCUUGCAUGCAUGAGGCACUGGGUUCCAUCCUCAGCACCA